AACGAACGCUGGCGGCAGGCUUAACACAUGCAAGUCGAGCGCCCCGCAAGGGGAGCGGCAGACGGGUGAGUAACGCGUGGGAAUCUACCGUACCCUACGGAAUAGCUCCGGGAAACUGGAAUUAAUACCGUAUACGCCCUACGGGGGAAAGAUUUAUCGGAGUGUGAUGAGCCCGCGUUGGAUUAGCUAGUUGGUGGGGUAAAGGCCUACCAAGGCGACGUUCCAUAGCUGGUCUGCGAGGAUGAUCAGCCAUAUUGGGACUGAGACACGUCCCAAACUCCUACGGGAGGCAGCAGUGGGGAAUAUUGGACAAUGGGCGCAAGCCUGAUCCAGCCAUGCCGCGUGAGUGAUGAAGGUCUUAGGAUUGUAAAGCUCUUUCACCGAUGAAGAUAAUGACGAUAGUCGGAGAAGAAGCCCCGGCUAACUUCGUGCCAGCCGCCGCAGUAA
rnacentral:rRNA from 1 species